rnacentral:rRNA from 1 species
GAUGAACGCUGGCGGCAUGCCUAAUACAUGCAAGUCGAGCGCCCCGUAAGGGGAGCGGCAGACGGUAGCGUAACGCGGGUGAGUCUACCGUGCCCAACGGAAUAGCUCCGGGACACUGGAAUUAAUACAGGAUACGCACUACGGGGGAAAGAUCUAUCGUGGUAUGAUGAGCCCGCGUUGGAUUAGCUAGUUGGUGGGGUAAAGGCCUACCAAGGCGACGAUCCGUAGCUGGUCUGAGAGGAUGAUCAGCCACAUUGGGACUGAGACACGGCCCAAACUCCUACGGGAGGCAGCAGUGGGGAAUAUUGGACAAUGGGGGCAAGCCUGAUCCAGCAAUGCCGCGUGAGUGAUGAAGGUCUUAGGAUUGUAAAGCUCUUUCACCGGUGAAGAUAAUGACGGUAACCGAAGAAGAAGCCCCGGCUAACUUCGUGCCAGCCGCCGCGGUAACAC